rnacentral:rRNA from 1 species
AUUGAACGCUGGCGGCAGGCCUAACACAUGCAAGUCGAACGGCAGCGGGGGGUAGCUUGCUACCCCGCCGGCGAGUGGCGGACGGGUGAGUAAUGCCUGGGGAGCUGCCCAAUCGAGGGGGAUACCAGUUGGAAACGACUGCUAAUACCGCAUACGCCCUGAGGGGGAAAGGUGGGGAUCUUCGGACCUACCGCGAUUGGAUGCACCCAGGUGGGAUUAGCUAGUUGGUGAGGUAACGGCUCACCAAGGCGACGAUCUCUAGCUGGUCUGAGAGGAUGACCAGCCACACUGGAACUGAGACACGGUCCAGACUCCUACGGGAGGCAGCAGUGGGGAAUAUUGCACAAUGGGGGAAACCCUGAUGCAGCCAUGCCGCGUGUGUGAAGAAGGCCUUAGGGUUGUAAAGCACUUUCAGUGGGGAGGAAAGGGUGAAAGCUAAUACCUUUCAUCUGUGACGUUACCCACAGAAGAAGCACCGGCUAACUCCGUGCCAGCCGCCGCCGUAA